rnacentral:rRNA from 1 species
UACGAAGGUGGCAAGCGUUGUUCGGAUUUACUGGGCGUAAAGGGAGCGUAGGUGGUGCGGUAAGCCCUCCGGGAAAGCUUCAGGCUUAACCUGAAAAAGGUCGGGGGGGGACUGCCGCGCUAGAGGACGGGAGAGGAGCGCGGAAUUCCCGGUGUAGCGGUGAAAUGUGUAGAGAUCGGGAGGAAGGCCGGUGGCGAAGGCGGCGCUCUGGAACGUUUCUGACACUGAGGCUCGAAAGCGUGGGGAGCAAACAGG